UACGUAGGGGGCAAGCGUUAUCCGGAUUUACUGGGUGUAAAGGGGGCGCAGACGGCGAUGCAAGCCAGGAGUGAAAGCCCGGGGCCCAACCCCGGGACUGCUCUUGGAACUGCGUGGCUGGAGUGCAGGAGGGGCAGGCGGAAUUCCUGGUGUAGCGGUGAAAUGCGUUGAUAUCAGGAGGAACACCGGUGGCGAAGGCGGCCUGCUGGACUGCAACUGACGUUGAGGCCCGAAAGCGUGGGGAGCAAACAGG
rnacentral:rRNA from 1 species